rnacentral:rRNA from 1 species
AACGAACGCUGGCGGCAUGCCUAACACAUGCAAGUCGAACGAGACCUUCGGGUCUAGUGGCGCACGGGUGCGUAACGCGUGGGAAUCUGCCCGUGGGUUCGGAAUAACAGAUGGAAACGACUGCUAAUACCGGAUGGUGACGUAAGUGCAAAGAUUUAUGGCUCAAGGAUGAGCCCGCGUAGGAUUAGCUGGUUGGGGAGGUAAAGGCGCACCAAGGCGACGAUCCUUAGCUGGUCUGAGAGGAUGAUCAGCCACACUGGGACUGAGACACGGCCCAGACUCCUACGGGAGGGAGGAGUAGGGAAUAUUGGACGAUGGGCGAAAGCCUGAUCCAGCAGUGCGGGGUAAGUGAUGAAGGCGUUAGGGUUGUAAAGCUCUUUUAGCCGAGAUGAUAAUGACGGUACCGGGAAAAUAAGCACCGGCUAACUACGUG